CCUACGGGUGGCAGCAGUGGGGAAUAUUGGACAAUGGGGGGAACCCUGAUCCAGCCAUGCCGCGUGUGUGAAGAAGGCCCUCGGGUUGUAAAGCACUUUCAGUGAGGAAGAACGCCUGGUGGUUAAUACCCAUCAGGAAAGACAUCACUCACAGAAGAAGCACCGGCUAACUCCGUGCCAGCAGCCGCGGUAAUACGGAGGGUGCGAGCGUUAAUCGGAAUUACUGGGCGUAAAGCGCGCGUAGGUGGCUUGAUAAGCCGGUUGUGAAAGCCCCGGGCUCAACCUGGGAACGGCAUCCGGAACUGUCAAGCUAGAGUACAGGAGAGGAAGGUAGAAUUCCCGGUGUAGCGGUGAAAUGCGUAGAGAUCGGGAGGAAUACCAGUGGCGAAGGCGGCCUUCUGGACUGACACUGACACUGAGGUGCGAAAGCGUGGGUAGCAAACAGGAUUAGAUACCCGUGUAGUC
rnacentral:rRNA from 1 species